GCAGUGGCGCAAUUGGUAGCGCAUCGGUCUCCAAAACCGACGGUUGGGGGUUCGAGUCCCUCCUGCC
rnacentral:tRNA from 1 species